UACGAAGGGUGCGAGCGUUGUUCGGAAUUACUGGGCGUAAAGGGUUCGUAGGCGGGAAUGCAAGUCAAGUGUGAAAUCCCCAGGCUUAACCUGGGACGUGCAUUUGAGACUGUGUUUCUUGAGUUUCGGAGAGGGUGGUGGAAUUGCUGGUGUAGGAGUGACAUCCGUAGAGAUCAGCAGGAACACCGGAGGCGAAGGCGACCACCUGGCCGAAUACUGACGCUGAGGAACGAAAGCGUGGGGAGCAAACAGG
rnacentral:rRNA from 1 species